rnacentral:lncRNA from 1 species
AUGAAAAGGAGGAAGGAGGAGAGAGAGGAGGGGGAAGAGAGGAGAAAAGGAGGAAGCAGAGGACGUGGGGCAAAGGCUGUACCUCAGGCUCAAGACUAUCUGCUGACCUCCCUGGGGCACCGCUGUGGGCCAAACCGUGUGCACUCCAUACUUGGAGACUAGACAUCACAAGUUAUGAGAAGUGGCGAGUCCCGAGGGUACCUGGGGAAAAGAGGAUGCGAGUCCACCCUCCCUCUGGUCUUAGCCUUUGGAGUCAGGCCAGGAGAGCAGGAGCUGCAGAUCCGAAGCCCAGCCCCAGCACCCACAGAGGAUUGCCGCCGCCACUGGACCCUCAGUAUUUAAAUCACCCAUUGACUUAAACAAUCAUACCCUGCCUCUGCUUUGAGAAUAAAGGCCCCACCACCAUG